rnacentral:rRNA from 1 species
AGAGUUUGAUCCUGGCUCAGGAUGAACGCUAGCGGGAGGCCUAACACAUGCAAGUCGAACGGGAUUGAGAGCUUGCUCUCAUGAGAGUGGCGCACGGGUGAGUAACGCGUAUGCAACCUGCCUUUAACUGAGGGAUAGCCCAUAGAAAUGUGGAUUAAUACCUCAUAGUUCUUUUGGUCUGCAUGGGCUGAAAGGUAAAGCUCCGGCGGUUAAAGAUGGGCAUGCGUGACAUUAGCUAGUUGGUGAGGUAACGGCUCACCAAGGCGACGAUGUCUAGGGGUUCUGAGAGGAUGAUCCCCCACACUGGUACUGAGACACGGACCAGACUCCUACGGGAGGCAGCAGUGAGGAAUAUUGGUCAAUGGGCGCAA